GCCAGGUGUGGUGGUGCACACCUGUAAUCCCAGUGGUUCUGGAGGCUGAGACAGGAGGAUUGCAAGUUCAAAGCCAGCCUCAG
rnacentral:sRNA from 1 species